AUAGAGUAAAGGGGCAAGCCAAAGAAACCGACCCUGGCUCUGACACCAGAGCCAAAUCUGCCUCUGACCAACUGAGCAUGAAACAAACAACCAAUCCCCGAACAGAAAACCAACCAAUCCCUGAACAGGAAAUCCAGCCAACCUGCAUUUGUCCAAGCUCAAGGGGAUGAAAAUAUGACCAAUUCCAUCCAUGAAAAUCUCCCUGGAAAAACUCCUCCCUUAAGAAGCCUUAUAUAAGCUCCUCUGCCUGUUCAGUUGGCAGCUCUCCUCCAUCUUGGCAGAGACAGUCACUAUCCUGGAUUCCUCCUUCCCAAAUAAAUAUCUUGAAACAAAAAUCUUGGGUGAAGAUCUUUUGCUGGCAUGGAGCAGAAUCUCUGCUGGGUAGCUCCCCUAAAGGAUCAUGGCAGAAGAAGCAACUAACCCCUCUGCUGGGAAACUGCCUUAGAGGAGUGGAGCAGAAGUAACAACUUUUUCACUGGAGCCAGAGCAGAUUGCUACAUUUAUUCAGGGGUUUCCUGUUUAGCAGAGUGAAGCUGAAGAAGUAACAUCUUGGGCCAGACUUGGGAAGAAACCAUUACCUCUGCUGGGAAACUCCUUUAGAGGAGCAGAGCAGAGCAGAGCUCUGUUGUAAUGGCUCUCAGGAUCAGAAUUGCCACAUCCUGCAGGGAGAUCAUCCCCCACCAGACCCCGGCUUCAUGUAUAGUCCAACUUCCCAGCAAGCCAGGAUACCUUUCUCCCCAGAGCUGUAGGUAUCCAGGAUACCUUCCCUUCAUCGCUUAAGGAGAGCCUGAAUAAGUCAGGGUACUUUUCUCUCACAGCUGUAGGUACCCAGGAUUCCUUCCUUCACAGCUGCAGUUUUACCCUGACUUCUCGAAAAGUCAGGAUACCUUCCCCUCCAGAACUGUAACACUUGCAGGCAUAGUCUGACUUCCAGACAAGUCAGGCUACCUUUCCUUCUGGAUCUGUAACACUUACAGAUAGGUGAUCUUCAAAUGAUUCAGAGACAUACAGAAUAUAGCAUUUAUGAUAACCUAAAGCUUUUCAUGAUAGUGAAACAUGUUUGCUCCUGGCAGCACUAAUCUACUUCAUAAAAGGAUGAUGGGCAUUGAAGACACUCCAUAUGGUGUUUGCUUUCAUUGUGGCAAAGCUAACCAUUUGGACAAGAAACUGCUUUUGCCUUGACUGCUGACAGUAUGCUGUACAAGCUGGAUAAUCAGUACACAAAGGAAAAAGACUGCUGAACUUUGCCAAGACAAGUUACUUGUAGACGUGAAGAAUAAUGAAGAAAAUUGGAGUCACCUGAUAUGUGCACUACCAUGAUGUUCAACAAGGUUACAGAGACUAGGUCUUUAUCGUUGGAUCCACCCCAGUCACCGGAGAUAGGACUUCUUUGAGAACUACAUGGUCUCAAGGGAAGUGGAUCUUGGAACCAAGGCACAUCUGAAGGCUGCUGCUGGCCACACUCUGCUGUUGUAACAAGUCUUACCUUCAAGGGGAUCUGGAUGGUAUUUCUCUGUGUCUAUCCCAUCAGGGAAACAAAACAAAGUAACCCCUGGUAUUGUGAAUGCAUUUUAACUUUCUGGCAUUGAUGACACAACUGGAAAAGAGUAAAUUAAAAUGUCUGGAAGAGAAAACAAGAAUAAAGUUCUUGACUUGAUAUUUUAUAAUAAAAAUAAAAAGCUUCAUAAUGACUGAGCUUCAUUAUGAGAUGGAAGCUGGGUUUUAUUUGCCAUAGGACUAAUCACAAACAUAGGCGUCUAACUCACAAGUGCUCUGUAGCAUUAUCAACCACUGUUUCUUUUAACAUAGGCCACAAAUCUUCCUCUGGCACCAAAAGGAGACGUGGGUUGCUUUCGAUUUUCUCCAGUCUGUCAUGUCACUUAACUGCCACAGUGAAAAAGCACUGCCUGCUCAGUCAGAGAAGACCUUUAGGGCCAUAUUUUCACUUCCUAUCUCCUGAAAUACGCACACACAUUUCAGCUACUGCUACUAAGACUGCUUCCCUGCCCUAGAAGGGGAGCAGCAGAGGGUUCUGCUUUUGAAAAUGUUUGUUUUCUUUUGUUGUUGUUGUUGUGGGUACCCUGAUAACAUUGUGCCUCUUUAGAGUCUGUAAAGAUGUUUUCUGAGUAUGUAAUAAAAAGUGC
ensembl:lncRNA